CCCGCCGUGCAUGCCCAGCCCGGUGCCCACCCUGCUGUGCCCGCCGGAGCCCCUCGCCUACUUCAAGCCCUCGCCCGGGCCGCCGGCCGCUGGCGGCGGGCAGGAAGGCGGCGGCGGCACGGGGGCGGCGGCCACGGUGCUGGACGAGGUGGCGGUGUUGGAGCUGGAGGACGGCUGCGGAGAGGACGAGGAUACAUGGUUGUACGUCUUGCCUACCAAGACUCGCACUCCUCAAGAGAAAUCACUGACUCCUCUGCAGUGGUGCAGACGUGUUCUGGAUCAUCCAACUCCUGAGAUAGAAGCUGCAAAACGUUCCCUAUGCUUUAGACUGGAGCAAGCUAGCCGAUGGCGGAGCCUCUUCUCUACGCCUGUCUCCUUGGCUUUUCCCUAUAGUCCUGUUGCAAGACUCACCCCAUAUACCAAUGGCUGUAAUAGUCCCAGCUUCUCUAAAACUUCCAGUAAAGCAAUACUAACACCUGAGCGGACAGGGUACAUUUCUAGGAGUUCCCCUUUGAGUCCACAGUCAUCGAUAGACAGUGAACUGAGCACUUCGGAGCUGGAGGAUGAUUCCAUCUCCAUGGGGUACAAGCUGCAGGACCUCACUGAUGUUCAGAUCAUGGCUCGUCUACAGGAGGAGAGCCUUAGGCAAGAUUAUGCUUCAACUUCAGCAUCUGUGUCAAGGCACACUUCCAGUGUUUCUCUGAACGCGGGGAAAAAAGGGACAUGCAGUGACCAGGAGUAUGAUCGCUAUAGUCUUGAGGAUGAGGAAGAGUUUGACCACCUCCCACCUCCGCAGCCACGUCUGACUCGCUGCUCCCCCUUCCAGAGAGGGAUUCCUCACUCACAGACUUUCUCCAGUAUCCGGGACUGCAGGAGGAGCCCUACUUCCCCACAAUUCCCUACAAAUACCUAUCAGCAGCCCUUCUACUCUCCUCAAGCCCAAACUCCAGAGCAGCAACCAAAUAGGAUUAAUGGAGGGCCAUUUAUCUCAGCAGACACAAGGACCCAUCAAAGAAGUAACAUAGCUGCUUGAUGGAUGAGAAUUUGCAGGUGCAGCAGGAAUCUGUUGCCUGAGGAGUGAAUGAAUCAGCAGCAGAGCAAACUGCUGGAACAAGAAGGGACUAAUGAACAGGAGGCAAAAGACGUGGCCACCCAAGACAUGGAGGAAAUCCGAGCUACUUCUGUACCUAUUUUUCUGCUAUUGUGGCUGCAUCCACUGGAGAGUUCAAGGCACAAAUAAUGCCUGGGCUGGCUGAUGCAGUCUCUAAGUGGAAGAGCAUGUAGAGUCCAAAGAAUUCUGCUAUAAAACAUGAUACUUAAAAAGCUAUUUUAUGCAGUGCUGUCUUUCCUACUGCCAUCCUGCUGCUCAGACCUUUCUUUGCCAAGUUCUGUGAUGUUGAAUCAGGAUUUCAAAACCUAGGACUUUGAAAGGGUAGACUAGGACUCCAGAAUUAACUGUAGCUACAGACAUCCCAUACUCGUGAUUUUUUUUGUCACUCUUGCCCAAGGAUUGCAUCACAGGGUGACAGUUCCCUCUUCAGUUUGCAGAAUUCUUAAAUAUUUUAGAGAUGGAUACAUACAGUAGCUGUAUGGGUGCUAUUGUUUGCAUCCCCAGGACAGUUUUGGAAGCCUGAUAACUGUUUUAUCAUUGUUACAUCACUGAUAUUAAUACUCACUACCUGGCUGCACCACAGUGGCGAUCCCCUUGCUGUUCAUUGCUGUACCACUGACUGAGUUUCAAUCAGUUGUUAGUCACUGUACCACUGACUGAGUUUCAAUCAGUUGUUAGUCACUGAAGCACAAUUCUGACUUGUUUCGUGAAAGAUUGUCUGUACUGUAGUUCUUUAUUAGGAUUUGACUGUACUCUGGAUUCCAGGGAUUCAAACCUUACAUUUCCUAUUCCUGCUGGAGAUACAACCUUUCUGUGACACAGGUUGCUGGAGUUAUGUAGGCAUCACAUAUAUUGAAGUUACUGUCAGUGACUCCUUAUAACUUGUAUAGAUAGAACUGUACUGUCAUGUCUUACUACUUUUCACUUGUUAGCAGCUUUAAGGAUUAGAUGAGCUAAUAAUGGUGCUAAAUAGGUUGUAUAUUUAUGUGGACUGAUCAACAGAGAUUUCUAAAUAAAUCUGCAGUUUCUGUGAACUGAACUUACCCUUUAUGAGCCAGGAGGUUGACCCAUGCCAGCAGUUCCAAGCAGUAUGCUGUGUUGUUCCUGUGCAUAAAACCAGAGCAUCAGUCUGGAAAUGCCCUGCUCUCUGUGAGAGAGAGCACUUGUAGCUGCUGUGACAAGACAAGCUUUCUGUUGCAGUGUGAGAAGUGUCUUUCUGUCACCUGCCAGCCUUUGAAACCUGUGUGGAACAGGAGCUGGUGAUCUCUGUGCCGACCAUGCUGUGAGGGGCGACGCAGCCACCUCGGCAGGGCACACACUUGUGCUUCUGAACCUGGCCAAGAGGCAAACCUCGGUGAUGUUGUCAGUGACAAUUGAAUAAAUGCCCCUUGUUUUCCCACAGCAGUGCUUUACUGAAGUCUGCCAUGUCACAGGACCAGGUCCUUCAGUCUGUGCCUUUCUCCCAGUCCCUUCUGAUUGCACAUAACUGAGUCAUCUCCCUUUGGCCUGAUGGCAGAAGAGACCAGAAGAGUUUUCCCUUAGAUUCCCUCAUGGUGGUGUGAUUGGGAAGAUGCCUUGAGAUGUCAGGAAGGUUUCAGUUCCUCUCUUCAAAUGAGCUGGUGUGACUGGGAUUGAAGAUGUCUUCUGACCACUUAAGACACUUGCUUAGCUGUUGUACCUGCCCCAAAAGCAUCUGGGGCAUUUGCAGCUUUCUUUUUGUGAAAAGCCCUACAAAAAACCUUACUCUGAAAAUGCCUACCAAAUCAGGUACCACAAGUGAGGUAGGAGGGAGAAACACCAAAUUUGAAAAUUCUUAUAUCGUCCCAGGGCUCCAAGCAACUGAACAGAAUCAAGACUUUGCAGUUUUUGCAAGUGGCUGCCUGCAGAAACUUAACAUGCUAACAAGACAAACUCCGCAGAAGCAUGCCUAACCUCGCUCGGAUGCCAAGCACCCCCACCAUCAGCAGCACCCCUGGCUUUGCUGGUUCUCCCG